AGUUGUAGUCAUCCGUCCGCGCGCCCGUGUAUUCGUUGCUGCGGCGGGCCGCACCGCAGUGAGAUUUAUUAACUUUCAUUUAUUUUCCGCGAUGGGUGGAUUCACAUGUUGUGUUCCUGGAUGCUUCAACAACAGUUCGAAACGAAAGGGCCUCGGAUUUUACGUGUUCCCGAAAGAGACGAAGCUUCGGCAGCUUUGGCUGCAGCGUAUCAACAGAGCUGGACAGCGUGGCAAGUUCUCAAAGUUCGUGCCCACAACAGGCCACAGAGUUUGCGGCGAACACUUCGAAGGAGGGAAGAAAACGUAUAUGGUUCGGGUACCGACAGUCUUUCCACUUAAGCAAAAAUUAUAAAGAAGCGUCGACAAAUUCAAGUGAAGCGCACUCUACCUGCCAACCGUGUUGAAGUGCAACAGCCACACAGCGAGGAAACAUCAAAUGAUGAAAACAGCACCGACUUGUGCAGUGCCACUGAGAACACUGCUUGUGAUACAUUCGAAGAACACUCAUAUACAUAUCAUGAGCACAAUGAAAAUGA